rnacentral:tRNA from 1 species
UAUUCUUUUAGUAUAAAAGUAUUUUUGACUUCCAAUCAAAAGGUCUAAAUUAAUAGAAAGAAUA